rnacentral:rRNA from 1 species
AUGGUCGAUCCCCAUUAUUGCGACUGGCAAAAACCCGAGCGAGAUCAGCAGCAAACCCAAUCCCAGCGACCGACUCCCCACCCCACCCCUCCCCUCCCUGGAUCGAUGCGCGGGGAAGCAGAGCCAGCAGCGCGGGGAGCAGGCGCCGCCGACGCGGGCCACCCGCGCUCGCCGGACCCGCACGACCUCUCCGACGACCCCGAUUACGCCGACGCCGCCUCCGUCCCCGCCUCCAUCCACGCGGCCAUGCGGACCGACAUGGCGGACAUAGGGUCCGAGGAGACGGCGAGGAUGGACGUGGUGUACGAGAAGGAGCGCGUCACCAUCCACCCCACUCAGUAUGGCUCCGGCCGGAUCAGCGGCAAGCUGCGCCUCUACUUGCAGCUCGGCUCCCUCUUCCUGAGCUGGGAGCCAAACGAGGGAGUUAACAUUUUCUCAACCAGUUCAAUCACUGCAGAAAUAGAAAAAUAUAGAAAUUUGUACACCAUUCAGGCCUUGCCUCUAAGUGACGUGCGCUUCAUCCGUAGGCACACCCCAACAUUUGGAUUGGAGUACAUAAUCAUUGUUCUCUCAUCAGGCUUGGCUUUUCCUCCUUUCUAUUUCUACAAUGGCGGAAUUCGUGAAUUGUUCGCAACAUUGAAACAGCAUGUCUUUAUUAUCAGGUCGGAUGAUGAUCCUAAUGUAUUUCUUGUCAACGACUUUGAAGAUCCUCUUCAGAAAAGCCUGUCAUCUCUAGAGCUUCCAGGGGUUGCCACUGUGGCUAAUGCCAUGUCACGACAGAAUUCCUUCAGCUUCACUGGUUCAGUUAGUGAAGUACGACAUGGAGAUGAUGCCAAAUAUGGGGGGCCUUCAACCAUGUCUGAAUAUGUCUCAAAGCAAAGGCGCAAAUCGAGUGAUCCAGGCCGAGACAUUUCGUUUCAAGUUCUGGAGAAAUUCUCACUGGUUACGAAGUUUGCGCGCGAGACAACAUCAAGCCUCUUUCGUGAAAAUCACAGUAGUGGUUCUCAUGCUUAUGGACGGCAAAAACAAGAAUAUGUUUUGGACAACAAAGCAAGUGACAAGUACGCAGAUCAGCUAAUAACACCGGAUGAUGCUUCUUUGCCCUCGGACUCGGUAGAGUCUGACGAGUUACUGCUGGUGUGGGGAAAAAAGAGAGGCAACCCAUUAACUGUUGAAGAGUGGAGAUCUUUCUUAGAUCCUGAAGGUAGAAUUAUGGAUUCAAAGGCACUGAGGAAGAAGAUUUUCUAUGGGGGAGUCGAUCAUGUUCUGAGAAAAGAGGUCUGGAAAUUCUUGUUGGGUUAUCAUGAAUAUGAUUCAACACAAGCUGAGAGGGAAUACCUUGCUGCCAUGAAACGAGAAGAAUAUGAAGCCAUAAAAUCCCAGUGGAAGAGUAUCUCAACCACACAAGCUAAAAGGUUCACCAAGUUUAGGGAAAGAAAAGGUCUUAUUGACAAAGACGUGGUGAGAACAGACAGAUCUGUUCCUUACUAUGAAGGAGAUGACAAUCCAAAUGUUGUAGUUCUACGUGACAUCUUGGUGACAUAUUCCUUCUAUAAUUUUGACCUGGGUUAUUGUCAAGGAAUGAGUGAUUUCUUGGCACCUAUACUUUAUGUCAUGGAGGAUGAGUCCGAAGCAUUUUGGUGCUUUGCUUCUUUGAUGGAACGACUAGGAGGCAAUUUUAAUCGUGAUCAGAAUGGCAUGCAUGCUCAACUACUUGGAUUAUCCAAGCUGGUGGAGCUUCUCGAUCCUUCAUUGCAUAACUAUUUUAGGCAGAACGACUGUCUAAACUACUUCUUCUGUUUCCGCUGGGUUCUUAUACAAUUCAAAAGGGAGUUCAGUUUUGAUCAGAUCAUGCUCUUGUGGGAAGUUUUGUGGACUCACUAUUUUUCAGAACACUUUCACCUGUACUUGUGCGUCGGUAUCUUGAAAAGGUACCGCCUGCGGAUAAUUGGGGAAGGGAUGGACUUCGACACCCUUCUCAAGUUCAUCAAUGAGCUAAGUGGUCAAAUCAAUAUUGAUCGGGCUAUUCAGGACGCCGAGGCAUUGUGUAGCAUUGCAGGUGAGGCCGGGGCCGAUUGCAUUCCACCUGGAACUCCGCCUUCUAUGCCCAUUGAGACCGAUGGUGGUCUGUACGUGCAAGAAAAUGAUGUCUUGUGA